CCAGCAUUUCUAGGGUACCCCAGCGACGUGCAAGCCACCCAACAGCAGGCUCUACAAGCCACACGGAGGGAGACUGGGUCUCCCUGCCCUCCUUCCCCAGCGUUCCUAGGGUACCCCAGCGGCGUGCAAGCAGAGAUGAUUUACUAACGUGAAUGAGAUGGAAUCAUGAAGAAAGAGUGGGAAGGAAAACAGCAAUGGUCCCCUCCCCUGAUAAGGAUGUGUGUGACCUGAAUUCCCUUCUGUAUGACAGAUGACUCAGGAUGGAGAGCUGAAUGAAACACUCCUCUGCCUCCACUCCCUACCCUCCUGUUCUUGAAACACACAUAUGGGACCCCCCUACCACCCGAAGGUGAACCACACAGGAACAGUGUCUGGCAGCUCACCUAUUCUCCACG